UAUCGAGGUCAAAGUUCGUGAGGGAUAAACAAAGCCAAGCGACUCCAUGCUUUUUUUUUUUUUUAAAGUCAACUUCAUCAGUUCAUGUUUUUUUCUUUUACUCUUUAGCGUUAAUAGUAGUAUAUAUAUUUCUUAAUUAUUGUUUAUUCCGCGUCGUGUAUACUUUUCAAUAUGCCGAAGACAGUUUGUGCAGCUGUGGGAUGUUCAAAUAGUACGUAUCGCCUCAUGAGAUGGAAGCAAACUAUGUGUGACAUCCAUAAGUGUUAUUUUGACUCAGGAAGAUGUGUUUGUGAUGCACCAUUCAAACUGUGCCCGUUUCCAAAAGAUCCAGACAUGAAAAUAAAAUGGAUUCAGGCCGUUAAUAGGAAAUGUAAGAACGCUAACAACAAGUGGGUGGACUGGAAGCCUACAAAAGACUCACGGAUCUGCAGUAAACAUUUCUUACAUGCUAAACCAACGGAUGACCACCCUUUGCCAUUGUUAGAAAUGGACUGUACAUCAACAUCAGCUACCGUGAAAAGAAGAAGAACACUAGUCCGGCAUGGACCUACACAAAUGGCUUCUGUGAACUCAGAAGCGUCAACUACUGCUGCUGCUUUCAUGGAUGAAGUUAUCCCACAGACUGGCAACGUAGAGGAUAGUUCUGAAUCCAACACACAACAACCCCACCAGUCCCCAAAACCCAACACUGGAGAGGAAUCUGUGGAACACGAUCAUAGUUACAUGUUCAGCUGCACAUGCUCCAAGGGUUGUACAUGCCUUGGCUGUUAGGAAAAACAAUUUGAAAUUGAUGCACUAAAAGCCAAAUCAACACAAAAUUAGCAGAUUAUUAAAAAUUGGAAGCACCUUUCUCAAAUUAGGGACAACUUGUUGUGGCGUUGAACACUUGCCUGCUAAGUUAGAAAUAGAUGGUGGCAAAUAACAGCCUGCUGGUUUGGCCUUAUGUGGCUCUGGGUUCCCUUGAUCCCACAUCUUCAAUGACACAGCAUUGGGAGCGCAGAUUUUCAAUGCAUUCAUCAAUUCUGUCACAGAUCCACUUUGCUGUUUUCUUUGGGCAUUAAACCGUUUUCUUUUUCCGAA